CCCACCUGCCUUAUCCUCCAAAAGUGCUGAGAUUAUAGGCAUGAGCCACAAGCCCAGCCGACAUUAUUUUUUAUAUCGUAAUUGCUCUCCAGAGCUUUAUACAAGGAAAUGCAAUGAGUCAAUAUACUUACUGAGAUUGCAGAAGAGACUGAACACUGCGCUAGGCUCUGAAGAGAAAGAUGAAAAAGAAGAAAGUGCUCCUGAGUAUAUGACUACUUGUACUUGCUAGCACUGAGGCAAGUACAAACUCUAGGCAUCAGGCUUUUGGUCUCACUCUUAGCGAAUUUGAACACUGGCUUUUUUGUUGGGCUUCCAUUCUUCUCUCAGCGCAAGAAUACCAACGUUUAUGACCCAGGAAGCACCAACUUAUACUUCACAGAGCUAAGAAACAGCAUUUCGCCAUGUCACGCAGGCUGGUCUUCAACUCCUGGACUCAAGCUAUCCACGGGCCUCGGCCUCCCAAAGUGCUAGGAUUACAGGCAUGAGCCACUAUGUCCGGCUUGGAGUUUUUAGUCUCAUCAAACCAACUCACCCAAAUGUCCCUUGGUGACAAAAAGUUUUCUGAAAGAUUAAGUAAUCUUUGUUUCCCAAGCCUGACAAAAUAAAAAGUUUUCUGUCUCUCU
rnacentral:lncRNA from 1 species